UGGAGAGACUACAACUCCCAGUAUGCACCGCGAUGCGCGCCUCACCCUGCAUCUCCCAGCCCGCAGCCAGCUGGCAUCCUAGACCCUCUGCCCUGCGACCAACAGCCGGGAGCGGACCAGACACCAGAACUCCCGGAACGGUUGAAGACGGUUCCGCUCCCUGUCCCGCCUUUCGCAGCCCAGCAGUUUCGCCCUGCGGAGAGGAGCCUUGCUGUUUCCAAAUCUCUCCUGCUGAAGAGACAUUGGAGCUAGGGCGGCUAGUUUCACCUGGUAAUUGUGACACCCUGUCUCCUCGAGCUGCAGGCUUUUAUGCUUGUCAUGUUCGAAGUUUGAUACCUUGCAGAUCAACAAAGGGCCGGUGGCCUCUCACUGCCUCCGCGGCAGGGUUGUCAAGGCUGUCACAAAUCCUCUGCACCCCAGGAGCGCCGCUUGGACCCCCGGGCUCGCUGCGUGGUCCAUAUCUAGGUCGGGCCUCUCACGGAGACUUUCCCACCAGUGUAAUAAAGAGGAGAAAACGUCACAGCGGAAGGGCCUGACCCUGCUGCAUCCACUAAGGAAACAGCUACGGGGAUGGGACCCUGGGAGCUGCUGUGGAGCCUCAUCCACCGCUUCUCUGACCCCACCCAGGCUGCUUCCCAGGCCUCAGGGUCUUAGUGUGGACCUCCGGGCCGUGAUUAAUGCAGUUUUUCAGGUUAAGUACUGCACGACUACUCGCUUCUGAAACUGAUAGACACUGCCUCAGCUCCGUGCAGGGCAGACGCACAAGAGCAGAAUCUCCGUGGGACAUCUCUCUGGAGCAUCAAUAUUACUGCAGUAUUUGGAAGAAACAAAUUUAAAUAAGUUCUAAGGUGAAGAAUGGAACAUUUAAGACAAGUCUGGAAAGUCAUCUGCCUUUAAUAACUGUCGUUUGUCCUUAACGUCAGACUUUCUCCAAGACCAAAACUCUAAGAACUUAUUUCCAUUCUUACAAAUAGUAAAAAUGAUAAAUCAUAUCAAGUCAAUUGAAAGUCCUGCCUGCUGCUUUCCUAAAUUGCAAUAUGGCCUUGGUAUGGUUUUAUUUGUACUUUUGUGGGGGAUUCGUGGAUCUUUAGAUUAAAAAAAAAAAAAUAGGUUUUUGAACAAUUUUUGCAAGUUUGCAGCUGUUAGUUAUUGAUUUAUUUUUCCAACCCAUCUAAUUCUUCUGUCUCUCUCCUCUCCUCAGGCUCAAUAAUUCCAUGGGUCUCUAAGGCUGUGUUUAUUUUCUUUAAAUUUUGUUGAUUUACUUUUAUACUCCAUUUGAUUUUUUCUAUCUCUCACCUUUUCUCAGACUCAGUCAUCCCACAGGUCUGUAAGGCUCUGUUCAUUUUCUUUAAACUUCUUUUUUUUUUCCUCUCCUCAGAUUGGAUAAAUUAUAUUGCUAUGUCUCUGUUUCUGAACUAUAGAAAAGCUCAAAAUUAUUAUUUUUAUUUCUCAUUUUUUAUAUGGCUAUUUUUUCUCUGCUGAUGUUUCACAUCUAUUCAUUUAUGAGAAUAUUUUCCUUUGCCCUCAUGAGCGUGUUUAUAAUAGCUGCCUUCAAAUUCUUGUCUGCCGUUUACAUCUUGGACAUCUUGGAGAUGGCUACUGCCUGCUUUUUAUCUUGUGUAUUUAUUACAUUUUCACGUGUCUUCACGCAUCCCUUGAAUUGGAAAUUGUGCCCUGGAGACUGUAUACAAGACUGGAUUAAAAAGACUGGAUUCUGUUU
rnacentral:lncRNA from 1 species